rnacentral:rRNA from 1 species
AUUGAACGCUGGCGGCAGGCCUAACACAUGCAAGUCGAACGGUAACAGGAAGCCGCUUGCUGCUUUGCUGACGAGUGUCGGACGGGUGAGUAAUGUCUGGGAAACUGCCCGAUUUAGGGGGAUAACUACUGGAAACGGUAGCUAUACCGCAUAACGUCGCAAGACCUAAGAGGGGGACCUUAGGUCCUCUUUCCAUCUGCUUUUCCCAGUUGGGAUUAGCUAGUAGGUGGGGUAACGGCUCACCUAGGCGACGAUCCAUAGCUGGUGUGAGAGGAUGACCAGACACACUGGAAGUGAGACAGGGACCAGACACCUACGGGAGGCAGCAGUGGGGAAUAUUGCACAAUGGGCGGAAGCAUGAUGCAGCCAUGCCGCGUGUAUGAAGAAGGACUUCGGGUUGUAAAGUACGUUCAGCGGGGAGGAAGGGAGUAAAGUUAAUAACUUUGCUAAUUGACGUUACCCGAAGAAGAAGCACCGGCUAACUCCGUG